GGGGGUAUAGCUCAGUGGUAGAGCAGCAUCCGACUGCAGAUCGGAAUGUCCCCGGCUCAACCCCGGGUGCCCCCU
rnacentral:tRNA from 1 species